rnacentral:tRNA from 1 species
ACUGCUAAUUCACGCCCCCAUAAUUAAAUUUUAUGGCUUUCUU